UAUACAGUGUGUGUGUAAACAGUAUUUAUAAUAUAGUGUUGCAUAGUUACAUAAUACGUAUAAUGUGCACAGUUACGGUAAGCAUAUAAUGCAUAUAGAUAGAUAGACAUAUUUUCCAUGAUAGCAAAGAGCAAUUUUUUUAUUUUUUUUUAUUCUUUUGAAUUAGGGAUACAUUUUGGUGAAUGGAAUGGAGAUUUCAUAUCUAAACAACUGGACAACUGAAGAAAAAAAAAAAAAGGAGAAAAAAAUAAAAGCUAGGAUAUGAGGAAAAAAAUGACAAAUGGAUCAGCAAUACCAGAAGGAGCCACCAGAACCACAGCCAAAGAAAAUCUCACAAAAUAAAGGACUCCACUACAGCUUUAAAUGGACGGAAAUACAUAACAAAAUUUGUGGACGCACAAACAGUACGACUCUGGAAAGAAUGUUCCAGGCACACACCAGGACCACUACAGCUUAAUGGAGAAGCAUUUGAUUGCUUCAUCUGUAGCGAUAAUUUUAGUCGGAGAGAAUUGGUAUAUUGUAUAUCUCUAUACAUUGCAGAUUGUAUAUAUAAUACACAGGAUAAAUGGUGUAUAUAUGUGUAUAGUGCAUGUAGAGUGUAUAAUGCAUUGCAGCAUAAGUGGAGAGAGGGAGAGAAAAAAAAAAAAAAAAGAGAAAGGUAAGAGAUGCACUCUCCGGUCUUUCCAAAAAAAAUCAAUUUAUGUAUCUUGAGGAAGACCCGAACGGGUCGAAAUGUCGGUCAGAUGAUGUAACACCUUUAUUGAAUAAACACAAAUUGAUUUUUUUGGGAAAGACCUGAGAGUGCAUCUCUUACUUUUCUAUACAUAUUUCAUAAUAUGGGAGAUUGCACCAAGGCAUACCAGUCUAUACCAGUGACGGUUAACUUGUGGCACGCCGGGCCCUCUCUGUGGGCACGCGGUCAUAGGUCGCUGGGGAAGGGGGCAGUUGGGCCGGUUAUACCGGUCAGCAACCAUGCAGAGUAGGCACCUGCCUGCCCAAACAGCAGGUGCCUACUCUGCUUUGAAGUCUUACCAAAGGUAAGAAG
rnacentral:lncRNA from 1 species